rnacentral:ncRNA from 1 species
CAAAAGUUUUAUUUAAGCUUAAAUAAUAGGUUUAUAAUUUAUUUACAUGUAAAUUUUAGUAAUUAUUAGUGUAAUUUUAGAUGGAUUACAAAAAAUUAAUAUAUUCGCAGUAUUUAAUUUUAAUUAUUAAGGAAACUUAGAAUUAGAAAUUUAUAAUAAUAUUAACAUAAUUUGUGCCAGCAGUUGCGGUUAUACAAAUAAUAUAAUUUAUUAUUAUUAAUUUAUAAUUAAUUGAAUAAUUUUAAAUAAGAAUUGUAAUUUAUUAAGUGAAAUUUUAAAUUAUAAUAAAUUUUAAUUAUAGAUUUUGAAGUUAUUAAAUUUUAAAUAAAACUAGGAUUAGAUACCCUAUUAUAAAAAUGUAAAUAUUAAAAAGUUUAAUUAUUAAUAGUUAUAGUCUUAAAAGUUAAAAAAUUUGGCGGUAUUUUAAUCUAUUCAGAGGAACCUGUCCUAUAAUUGAUAUUCCACGAUUAAAAUUACUUAUUUUAGAAAUUUGUAUAUCGUCGUAGUUGAAUAUUUUAAUAGAAAUUUAAUAUUCUAAAUUUUUAUUGUAAAAAUAAAUCAGAUCAAGGUGCAGUUUAUAAAUAAGAAGAGAUGGGUUACAAUAAUAGGUAUUUUUGGAUAUUAUUUUUUAAAAAAAUAUUGAAAAUGGAUUUGACAGUAAUUUAGUUAAUUUUAAUUAAAUGAUUUUAGUUCUAAAAUAUGCACAUAUCGCCCGUCGCUCUCAUUUAAGUUGAGAUAAGUCGUAACAUAGUAAAUGUACUGGAAAGUGUAUUUAGGUAUAA